rnacentral:lncRNA from 1 species
CAACAACUGUAAAAAUGGAAUUACAAUAACACACAAAAGUUUUGAGUUUUCGUGGGAUAAGUGACUUACAGCUCUCUAACAUUAUCUCAGAGACUGAAGGAUCAGGCCUGAAUCUGCUCUGGUUUUGCAAUCCCCUGUCCUGCUCAGAGCCUACCUUUUCGCAAAUCUGUGGGGUACGAAUUCAAGAGAAAGACAAGAGUGGAACACUCACACGUGGUGAUAACUCAGUCAAGUAUCUGGCAUACUGAGACUUCUUUCAGGAAGGCUCCCAUGUGCUGGAGGAGGCCGCAG